UACGUAGGUGACAAGCGUUGUCCGGAUUUACUGGGCGUAAAGAGCGCGCAGGCGGUCGUUCAAGUCGAGUGUGAAAGCCCCCGGCUCAACUGGGGAGGGUCAUUCGAUACUGAUCGACUGGAAGGCAGGAGAGGGAAGCGGAAUUCCCGGUGUAGUGGUGAAAUGCGCAGAUAUCGGGAGGAACACCUAUGGCGAAGGCAGCUCGCUGGGACGUUACUGACGCUGAGACGCGAAAGCGUGGGGAGCAAACAGG
rnacentral:rRNA from 1 species